UACGAAGGGGGCUAGCGUUGCUCGGAAUUACUGGGCGUAAAGCGCGUGUAGGCGGGGCUUUAAGUCAGGGGUGAAAUGCCAAGGCUCAACCUUGGAACUGCCUUUGAUACUGAAGAUCUUGAGUUCGGGAGAGGUGAGUGGAACUGCGAGUGUAGAGGUGAAAUUCGUAGAUAUUCGCAAGAACACCAGUGGCGAAGGCGGCUCACUGGCCCGAUACUGACGCUGAGGCACGAAAGCGUGGGGAGCAAACAGG
rnacentral:rRNA from 1 species